GCCACCAGUAUCUCUACUAGUGGUCCCUCUUCUUUCCCAACAAAAGAAAGUAUUGCGUCAUACAUCUCAUUUGACAACAGCAGCUGCAAUCCGAUCUCGCUGGGCAGUCGAAUCGACCGACCAGGGCACUGUCAGGCUCAGGCAUCCGCCGGUUACGUGCAACCGGGAUAAAGGUGGCAGUACACAUGCUGCAGGCUGCAGCACCACAACUUGCUCGCAUCCAACUCCCAGGCUUGUCCUGAGAGAGAGUGCAGUUCAAGGAUUUCGACGCUAAUGCUGCCGAUCCCCAAGAUUGUGCUGCUGCUUUAGCUCGAUCGGCGCCAUUUUCAAGACCUAGCUAGGGUAUGCACGUGAUGUAGGCAAAUUGGCGGUCGAUGACGGGAUGAUCGGAGCCAAGUAGGUACUUGGUGCUGGACGAUCAAGAAGGUCGGACUGAGUCAAGAGUGAAGCAAAGCAUGAAGUUAUGGAUGAAGAUGGCGUAUUGAUAAAGUAAAACGAAGGGGAUGUCGAUGCAAGUGAUAAGGCAACCCGAUGAAUUGGGGGCGGAAGAGACUUGCUAGUGGUCAAGGCCGCAAGACGAAGGACAUGUAUCGACAUUAGAGUGCUUUUUGUUGUGGCAAAGCAAGUGACAGCUAGUCACGCUUUGAAAAGCGUGCUAAGGUUUCGCGGUUGGGCCACAAAAUCGCAGGAGGACUGGAGGGUCAUGUGGCAUCAUCAUGAAACUUUCGUCAAGGUGAAGCUAAGUCAUGAAGAAGCCGUGACCGUUCGAUGGACGGAGUAAAAAAUAGAUCAAAAUAUCUCGGUGGUAGGUAGGAAUGUAUUAUCAGUGAGGGGUAUUUUGGGAACAAGGACACUUAUGGGUAAAGACACCUUUUUAGGCCUAUAAAUAUAGGGGUAGGGUUGUAGAGAGAGGUUGAGCUAGCUAUUUGAGAGCCUAAUGAUAGAUUUUGAAGGAGAGAAGAGGAUAGACUUAGUCUUUGUAAUAGUUUAGAAUUUUUUUGAGAGAAAAAACUUUAGAAUCUAUCUAAAAUAGGACUAAUCUUUGUACUUAAUGAAAUGUGUUUUCUUGCAUAUGCUCAUGUCUAUCUCCUUCUAGUCUUUA